GGAUUAGAAACCCGGGUAGUCCACGCCGUAAACUAUGGAUGCUAGCUGUUAGAGGUAUCGACCCCUCUAGUAGCGAAGCUAACGCGUUAAGCAUCCCACCUGUGGAGUACGGUCGCAAGACUAAAACAUAAAGGAAUUGACGGGGACCCGCACAAGCGGUGGAGCGUGUUGUUUAAUUCGAUGGUAAGCGAAGAACCUUACCCAGGCUUGACAUCCUUGGAAGCACUGCGAAAGCAGAGUGUGCCUUUUGGAACCAAGUGACAGGUGUUGCAUGGCCGUCGUCAGCUCGUGUCGUGAGAUGUUUGGUUAAGUCCAUCAACGAGCGCAACCCUUUUAGUCUGUUGUAUUUUUCAGGCUAGACUGCCCUGGUAACAGGGAGGAAGGAGGGGAUGAU
rnacentral:rRNA from 1 species